AGCGGCGGACGGGUGAGUAACGCGUGGGAAUGUACCCUUCUCUAAGGAAUAGCCACUGGAAACGGUGAGUAAUACCUUAUACGCCCUUCGGGGGAAAGAUUUAUCGGAGAAGGAUCAGCCCGCGUUGGAUUAGAUAGUUGGUGGGGUAAUGGCCUACCAAGUCUACGAUCCAUAGCUGGUUUGAGAGGAUGAUCAGCCACACUGGGACUGAGACACGGCCCAGACCCCUACGGGAGGCAGCAGUGGGGAAUCUUAGACAAUGGGGGAAACCCUGAUCUAGCCAUGCCGCGUGAGUGAUGAAGGCCUUAGGGUCGUAAAGCUCUUUCGCCAGGGAUGAUAAUGACAGUACCUGGUAAAGAAACCCCGGCUAACUCCGUGCCAGCAGCCGCGGUAAUACGGAGGGGGUUAGCGUUGUUCGGAAUUACUGGGCGUAAAGCGCACGUAGGCGGACUAGUCAGUCAGAGGUGAAAUCCCAGGGCUCAACCCUGGAACUGCCUUUGAUACUGCUAGUCUUGAGUUCGAGAGAGGUGAGUGGAAUUCCGAGUGUAGAGGUGAAAUUCGUAGAUAUUCGGAGGAACACCAGUGGCGAAGGCGGCUCACUGGCUCGAUACUGACGCUGAGGUGCGAAAGUGUGGGGAGCAAACAGGAUUAGAUACCCUGGUAGUCCACACCGUAAACGAUGAAUGCCAGUCGUCGGGCA
rnacentral:rRNA from 1 species